rnacentral:rRNA from 1 species
CGAAACUCAAAUGAAGUUGACGGGGCCCGCACAAGCGGUGGAGCAUGUGGUUUAAUUCGACGCACGCGCAGAACCUUACCUGGGCUUGACAUCCCGAUCGCACCUUUUGGAAACUUAAGGGUCAGUUCGGCUGGAUCGGUGACAGGUGCUGCAUGGCUGUCGUCAGCUCGUGUCGUGAGAUGUUGGGUUAAGUCCCGCAACGAGCGCAACCCUCGUCCUUAGUUGCCAGCAUUAAGUUGGGCACUCUAAGGAGACUGCCGGUGUUAAACCGGAGGAAGGCGGGGAUGACGUCAAGUCCUCAUGGCCCUUAUGUCCAGGGCUACACACGUGCUACAAUGGCCGGUACAAAGGGUAGCAAGACCGCGAGGUGGAGCCAACCCCAAAAAGCCGGUCUCAGUUCGGAUUGGAGUCUGCAACUCGACUCCAUGAAGUUGGAAUCGCUAGUAAUCGUGGAUCAGCAUGCCCACGGUCGAAUACGUUCCGGCCUU